ACCAAUCACACCCUCUAUUUUAGUUUUUGCCCCUUUUGCUAGCAUUUGCUAUGUCUUUUUACAUCACUGUUUAUUGUUUUGAAAAUUGGUUGGACUCUCUUCAAGUUUAGUGAAAAAAGAAGAUUGCUUGCAUGAAGGUCCGAAUACCAUAGAAUUCUAAUAAGAUAAUCAGAGGUUUGGAUUUUGCAAUUAGAGGUUCGAAUAUGAUAUUGGGGCUUAUAUACCUUAGAAAAUAGAAACUUGAAAAAGUAUUGGGGCUUAUAAACCUAGAAUGGUCAAGCAUACAUUUGAAUACGGCACUUCCAGAACUUGAUUUGACUCAGAGUAUUGCUUAAAGGUUGUAUAGCUGAACCUUAUUAGUUGAUCAUCUUUUUUUAACUAUCUUCGUUUGGUUGGUAAGAAAAUGUUAUCAAUUUAGUGGAUAGGUGGAUGUGGUUGGAAAACUCAUUGAAUGGGAUGAUAAUAAAAACUUAAAUCAUACAAUUGAGGUUGUGAAGAAUUAAUCUAUCAGGAAUCUCACUUUGUGUGAACUAUUACAAAUAGGUGGUUUGUACAUUAAACAUUGGUGUGCCAUGUGCACAAAAUUAGUGUAGGUAAAGAAAAUUUGAUUGCGGCAUCAAGUAUGGAUGUUAUAACACAAUGGGGGCAUUGAUGAGAAAUUGAGAUAUGCUUAGCUCUACAUCAAUUUAGUAUUGAUGUGUUAUAACUGUUUGUCCUAGAACAUCCUGAUUGCAGAAACCUCUUAAGCAGCUACUAAGUCUCCAUUCAAUUCACAAGCUAUGGGCGAUGUCUUAAAAAACGUAGGUGUUAUGCUUCGAGAGGAAUGUGAUCUGAAUGUGAUCCGCUUUUUGGGGUUUAAUGCAGAGUAUGGAGGGAUAAAGAGCACAAGCAGUCAGCCAAAACUCAUGCCAAGUCAGGUAGUCAAGAUCUAGCCCAACAAGGAUCUGGUCCUUCAAAUGCUUUAGCUCUUCCAGGGUGACCCAAACUUACUAGUGAGUCAAGUGACUGAGUUCUAAACUAGAGCCUCUAUCACAUUCAUUUUGCUGGGUGGCCCAAAGGUUAGCAAGGAAAACUAGAAAAUCGUGCUUGUUAGACGCAUUAUCUUUGCCCUAGCCUUCAUACACUUGGACUAACCCUUUGGCUAAAGUAAAGAACUACGGAGUACUAUUGUAGUUCAGACCUCCAAAGGCAUACCAUUGCCUCAGAACUCAUAACCAUUGAACAGUAAACACGCACAUGGAGACAAUUAAACAGCUUGCCCAACUAUGUCAAGCUCCAUUCUUGCAAGAUUCGAGCUUUUUAAUGUACGAUAUACAUACACAUAUAAGUAGAUCUGCAGAAUUUUGGUUUCUUUUAUUCUUUAGUUUAAUGAGUUCCAUGAAUCGUGCGGAAGUUGGAUACUCCAAAUUCGAGGGUCCAAGAGUUCAUAAAAAAAAAUUGGGUUGGGGUAACAUCGUGUUAACAAGUCUCAGCAAUCAAUGGUUCAAAUUUCAUUCGGCUUCUACAAAUCUAAACUGUCCAAUACCAACGUGAAAUCUAAACCAUUGCAAC